UUUCCCUGUAGCUUCUCUCUCUGGGAGUCUGAGGAUGACAGAAAGGGUAGUGGGCUGUUUGCUCCCUCUUAAUCCCCUUUCUGAGGGUUUCCCUCCACAGUUGGAGAUCAAGGGCUGGUCAUAAAGGAAGAUAGAAAGUUUCCCAGCUGAGAUUUGAGUUCCAGUCUCUCUCUCCUCCCAGUACUAUCAGUGUAUCAGAUUUUGGAAGAUUGACCAUUUCCUUGGCUAAUCAAAAUAAAGGGGAAUAGAAGAGGAGUGUAAAUUCUCAGGAACAAUUACUUUCAGAUCAUUGCUAAAGGUACAGAAUAGCAUGGAGUCCAGGGGAGGUACCUGUGGGACCCAAUUAGAAAUGGCUGCACUGAAGGCUGAUGUAUCAUCAACAAUUAUAUUCUGAGAUCUAGAAGUUAGCCAGUUUUUAAACCCAAGCUAAUCAUGCCAUAUUCGUUUGUUAAGUACAUAUAAAAACAAAGCCAGGUCGAAGAUACCCGGAUUAACUCUUGGCAUCAGCAGCCCACUAAAAAACCUAUGAAGCUUCCUUGUAUUGGGAGGAAAAAAAAAAAAAAAACACCCAGUCCCAAGUCUUUCAUUUCCAACAUGACCUUCACAAGGCAGCAUGUUAGUGUCAGCUUCAUUCUCAUGUCUCUUUCCUGCUAAGAAGGGUUCAUCUCCUGGUGCCCAAGAAGAUGCAGGGACAAGGGAACUAAAAAACAAUAAAAAGGCACCUUCAGAACCUGUUCCCUUGGGCUCGGUGUUCUUGGCAAGCAGAUAAAGAAUUUUAGAGGCUCUUGGAAAUGGGUGUUGCAACUCUAUAAGAAAACCAUCCU